UGGGUGGGUUAUUUCAGACCUCAGGGCCGGGGAUUAAGCGACCGUGAGCAGUCCCAAUACGAUGACAGCAUCCAGCCUAAACCUAACCUCCACGCACCACACCGUCCGAGACAAGGAUUUUACCUAUUCUGUCAAGAUAUUCCGUUCGCUUUCUUUUUUCAGUCAGUUCAUUGCACCCUCAAGGUCCACACUCCAGGUCCGUCUCUUUCUUUAGAACACGAGGUGACUACUGGCAUUACACGUUCUGAUUGGGCCUGAUGAUCACUAGGGCCCUCCUCCACCUCUUUUCGGCCAAUCCCGAUGGGGUUCUGGAGCUGAUGUCACAGAGGGCGGAAGGGUUUUCAUGUUCGGGAGUCCAGAAGAGACAAGCCAUACCACGUUAAAUGGAGGAGAAGGAGAGAAGUAGGAGUCGUUCUCUGUCUCGAAGCCGGGUUCAACAGGUGGUGGGGACGCUGAUCAGACGCACCCGAGAAUCCCUCAGCAGAGAACGUAUCCUUGGUGAUGGGAGGUCGAACCGGUCGGGGAGUGUUUCCAGUCAGAACUUCCCCGUGAGGCUGACUGUUCAGGUCGUGAGAGACCCGGUGCUGGACUCCAGUGGGCAUGGGUUCACCCUCUCCAAACAGCACCCCCUGCUGGUCAGGGAUGUGGCUACAGGUACACUGUGGGUGUGUGUGUGUGUGUGUGGGUGUGUGUGUAUGUGGUUGUGUGUGUGGGUGGGUCUGUGGUGUAUGUGUGUGGGAGUGUGUGUGGGUGGGUCUGUGGUGUAUGUGUGUGGGAGUGUGUGUGGGUGGGUCUGUGGUGUAUGUGUGUGGGAGUGUGUGUGGGUGGGUGGUGUAUGUGUGUGGGUGUGUGUGUGUGUGUGUG
ensembl:lncRNA